rnacentral:tRNA from 1 species
GCUGGUGUAGCCGAAUUGGCAUAGGCGAAUGAUUUAGGAUCAUUAAUUUGGGGGUUCAAAUCCUCUCACCAGUACCA